rnacentral:rRNA from 1 species
AGGGCACCACCAGGAGUGGAGCCUGCGGCUUAAUUUGACUCAACACGGGAAAACUCACCCGGCCCGGACACUGGAAGGAUUGACAGAUUGAGAGCUCUUUCUUGAUUCAGUGGGUGGUGGUGCAUGGCCGUUCUUAGUUGGUGGAGUGAUUUGUCUGGUUAAUUCCGAUAACGAACGAGACUCUAGCCUACUAAAUAGAUCGUCGGCUUACAAACGCCGGCGAGACUUCUUAGAGGGACAGGCGGUGAUUCAACCGCACGAAACAGAGCAAUAACAGGUCUGUGAUGCCCUUAGAUGUCCGGGGCCGCACGCGCGCUACACUGAAGUGAUCAGCGUGCUUUUUCAACCUACUCUGUCAAGAGUGGGGAACCCAAUGAACCUUCUUCGUGACUGGGAUAGGGGAUUGUAAUUAUUCCCCUUGAACGAGGAAUUCCCAGUAAGCGCGAGUCAUAAGCUCGCGUUGAUUACGUCCCUGCCCUUUGUACACACCGCCCGUCGCUACUACCGAUUGAGUGUUUU